GGUUAAGCGACUAAGCGUACACGGUGGAUGCCCUGGCAGUCAGAGGCGAUGAAGGACGUGCUAAUCUGCGAAAAGCGUCGGUAAGGUGAUAUGAACCGUUAUAACCGGCGAUGUCCGAAUGGGGAAACCCAGUGCAAUUCGUUGCACUAUCGUUAACUGAAUACAUAGGUUAACGAGGCGAACCGGGGGAACUGAAACAUCUAAGUACCCCGAGGAAAAGAAAUCAACCGAGAUUCCCCCAGUAGCGGCGAGCGAACGGGGAGCAGCCCAGAGUCUGAAUCAGCUUGUGUGUUAGUGGAACGGUCUGGAAAGUCCGACGGUACAGGGUGAUAGUCCCGUACACCAAAAUGCACAGGCUGUGAACUCGAAGAGUAGGGCGGGACACGUGGUAUCCUGUCUGAAUAUGGGGGGACCAUCCUCCAAGGCUAAAUACUCCUGACUGACCGAUAGUGAACCAGUACCGUGAGGGAAAGGCGAAAAGAACCCCGGCGAGGGGAGUGAAAAAGAACCUGAAACCGUGUACGUACAAGCAGUGGGAGCACCUUCGGGUGUGACUGCGUACCUUUUGUAUAAUGGGUCAGCGACUUAUAUUCUGUAGCAAGGUUAACCGUAUAGGGGAGCCGCAGGGAAACCGAGUCUUAACUGGGCGUUAAGUUGCAGGGUAUAGACCCGAAACCCGGUGAUCUAGCCAUGGGCAGGUUGAAGGUUGGGUAACACUAACUGGAGGACCGAACCGACUAAUGUUGAAAAAUUAGCGGAUGACUUGUGGCUGGGGGUGAAAGGCCAAUCAAACCGGGAGAUAGCUGGUUCUCCCCGAAAGCUAUUUAGGUAGCGCCUCGUGAACUCAUCUUCGGGGGUAGAGCACUGUUUCGGCUAGGGGGUCAUCCCGACUUACCAACCCGAUGCAAACUACGAAUACCGAAGAAUGUUAUCACGGGAGACACACGGCGGGUGCUAACGUCCGUCGUGAAGAGGGAAACAACCCAGACCGCCAGCUAAGGUCCCAAAGUCAUGGUUAAGUGGGAAACGAUGUGGGAAGGCACAGACAGCCAGGAUGUUGGCUUAGAAGCAGCCAUCAUUUAAAGAAAGCGUAAUAGCUCACUGGUCGAGUCGGCCUGCGCGGAAGAUGUAACGGGGCUAAACCAUGCACCGAAGCUGCGGCAGCGACACUAUGUGUUGUUGGGUAGGGGAGCGUUCUGUAAGCCUGCGAAGGUGACCUGUGAGGGUUGCUGGAGGUAUCAGAAGUGCGAAUGCUGACAUAAGUAACGAUAAAGCGGGUGAAAAGCCCGCUCGCCGGAAGACCAAGGGUUCCUGUCCAACGUUAAUCGGGGCAGGGUGAGUCGACCCCUAAGGCGAGGCCGAAAGGCGUAGUCGAUGGGAAACAGGUUAAUAUUCCUGUACUUGGUGUUACUGCGAAGGGGGGACGGAGAAGGCUAUGUUAGCCGGGCGACGGUUGUCCCGGUUUAAGCAUGUAGGCUGGUUGUCCAGGCAAAUCCGGAUAAUCAAGGCUGAGGUGUGAUGACGAGGCACUACGGUGCUGAAGUAACAAAUGCCCUGCUUCCAGGAAAAGCCUCUAAGCAUCAGGUAACAUCAAAUCGUACCCCAAACCGACACAGGUGGUCAGGUAGAGAAUACCAAGGCGCUUGAGAGAACUCGGGUGAAGGAACUAGGCAAAAUGGUGCCGUAACUUCGGGAGAAGGCACGCUGGUGUGUAGGUGAAGCCCCUGCGGGUGGAGCUGAGACCAGUCGAAGAUACCAGCUGGCUGCAACUGUUUAUUAAAAACACAGCACUGUGCAAACACGAAAGUGGACGUAUACGGUGUGACGCCUGCCCGGUGCCGGAAGGUUAAUUGAUGGGGUUAUCCGUAAGGAGAAGCUCUUGAUCGAAGCCCCGGUAAACGGCGGCCGUAACUAUAACGGUCCUAAGGUAGCGAAAUUCCUUGUCGGGUAAGUUCCGACCUGCACGAAUGGCGUAAUGAUGGCCAGGCUGUCUCCACCCGAGACUCAGUGAAAUUGAACUCGCUGUGAAGAUGCAGUGUACCCGCGGCAAGACGGAAAGACCCCGUGAACCUUUACUAUAGCUUGACACUGAACAUUGAGCCUUGAUGUGUAGGAUAGGUGGGAGGCUUUGAAGCGUGGACGCCAGUCUGCGUGGAGCCAACCUUGAAAUACCACCCUUUAAUGUUUGAUGUUCUAACGUUGGCCCCUUACCGGGGUUGCGGACAGUGUCUGGUGGGUAGUUUGACUGGGGCGGUCUCCUCCCAAAGCGUAACGGAGGAGCACGAAGGUUAGCUAAUCCUGGUCGGACAUCAGGAGGUUAGUGCAAUGGCAUAAGCUAGCUUGACUGCGAGCGUGACGGCGCGAGCAGGUGCGAAAGCAGGUCAUAGUGAUCCGGUGGUUCUGAAUGGAAGGGCCAUCGCUCAACGGAUAAAAGGUACUCCGGGGAUAACAGGCUGAUACCGCCCAAGAGUUCAUAUCGACGGCGGUGUUUGGCACCUCGAUGUCGGCUCAUCACAUCCUGGGGCUGAAGUAGGUCCCAAGGGUAUGGCUGUUCGCCAUUUAAAGUGGUACGCGAGCUGGGUUUAGAACGUCGUGAGACAGUUCGGUCCCUAUCUGCCGUGGGCGCUGGAGAAUUGAGGGGGCUGCUCCUAGUACGAGAGGACCGGAGUGGACGCAUCACUGGUGUUCGGGUUGUCAUGCCAAUGGCACUGCCCGGUAGCUAAAUGCGGAAGAGAUAAGUGCUGAAAGCAUCUAAGCACGAAACUUGCCCCGAGAUGAGUUCUCCCUGAGACUUUAAGUCUCCUGAAGGAACGUUGAAGACGACGACGUUGAUAGGCCGGGUGUGUAAGCGCAGCGAUGCGUUGAGCUAACCGGUACUAAUGAACCGUGAGGCUUAACCUU
rnacentral:rRNA from 1 species